rnacentral:rRNA from 1 species
GUAGUCAUAUGCUUGUCUCAAAGAUUAAGCCAUGCAUGUCUAAGUAUAAGCAAUCUAUACAGUGAAACUGCGAAUGGCUCAUUAAAUCAGUUAUCAUUUAUUUGAUAAUACUUUACUACUUGGAUAACCGUGGUAAUUCUAGAGCUAAUACAUGCUAAAAAUCCCUACCUCUGGCGGGGAUGUAUUUAUUAGAUAAAAAACCAAUGUCUUCGGACUCUUUGGUGAUUCAUAAUAACUUUUCGAAUCGCAUGGCCUUGCGCUGGCGAUGGUUCAUUCAAAUUUCUGCCCUAUCAACUUUCGAUGGUAAGAUAGUGGCUUACCAUGGUUUCAACGGGUAACGGGGAAUA